rnacentral:rRNA from 1 species
GACGAACGCUGGCGGCAUGCUUAACACAUGCAAGUCGAGCGGAAGGGCCCUGCUUUUGUGGGGUGCUCGAGUGGCGAAGGGGUGAGAAACAUAUGAGUAACCUGCCCUUGACUUUGGGAUAACUUCAGGAAACUGGUGCUAAUACCGGAUAGGAGCUCCUGCUGCAUGGUGGGGGUUGGAAAGUUUCGGCGGUUGGGGAUGGACUCGCGGCUUAUCAGCUUGUUGGUGGGGUAGUGGCUUACCAAGGCUUUGACGGGUAGCCGGCCUGAGAGGGUGACCGGCCACAUUGGGACUGAGAUACGGCCCAGACUCAUACGGGAGGCAGCAGUGGGGAAUAUUGCACAAUGGGCGGAAGCCUGAUGCAGCAACGCCGCGUGCGGGAUGACGGCCUUCGGGUUGUAAACCGCUGUCGCCUGUGACGAAGCGUGAGUGACGGUAAUGGGUAAAGAAGCACCGGCUAACUACGUG